UCAAGUGAUUCUGCGCCGACAAUUCAGCGGGGCUCAAGCACACCGCCGAAGCCGUGGCAUCCGCGCACACCCCAGCAUCCCCCUCGAGGGGUGUUCAGGGGCGCGGGUGGGUAGGGGAGCGUCGUGUGGGAGGUGAAGCUGCGGGGUGACCCAGUGGUGGAUCCCACACGAGUGAGAAUGCAGGCAUGAGUAGCGAAUGACGGGUGAGAAACCCGUCCGCCGAAUGACCAAGGGUUCCAGGGCCAGGUUAAUCCGCCCUGGGUAAGUCGGGACCUAAGGCGAGGCCGACAGGCGUAGUCGAUGGACAACGGGUUGAUAUUCCCGUACCGGCGAAGGACCGACCAUGCCGACCCCGGUGAUGCUAACCACCCAACGUCUCGUGGGUUCCUUCGGGAACCGGCGGGACCGCGCGUGGGACCCGAUCCGGCAGUAGGCAAGCGUGUUAACAGGGGUGACGCAGACAGGUAGCCACCGCGUGCUUAAUGGCAAUGCACGUCUAAGGAUGCAGGGCGGGGUGCAGGCAAAUCCGCACCCCACGAAGCCUCAGGUCCGACAGUGACCCCGUAUGGGGGAAGCAGGGUGAUCCUAUGCUGCCGAGAAAAGCCUCGACGCGAGGGACUAGCCGCCCGUACCCUAAACCGACUCAGGUGGUCAGGUAGAGAAUACCAAGGCGAUCGAGAGAAUCGUGGUUAAGGAACUCGGCAAAAUGCCCCCGUAACUUCGGGAGAAGGGGGGCCGUGAGGGGGUGAGGCCACUGACUGGCUAGCCCUUU
rnacentral:ncRNA from 1 species